GGUCAAGUGAAGAAGCGCAUACGGUGGAUGCCUUGGCAGUCAGAGGCGAUGAAAGACGUGGUAGCCUGCGAAAAGCUUCGGGGAGUCGGCAAACAGACUUUGAUCCGGAGAUCUCUGAAUGGGGGAACCCACCUAGGAUAACCUAGGUAUCUUGUACUGAAUCCAUAGGUGCAAGAGGCGAACCAGGGGAACUGAAACAUCUAAGUACCCUGAGGAAAAGAAAUCAACCGAGAUUCCCUUAGUAGUGGCGAGCGAACGGGGAUUAGCCCUUAAGCUUCAUUGAUUUUAGCGGAACGCUCUGGAAAGUGCGGCCAUAGUGGGUGAUAGCCCCGUACGCGAAAGGAUCUUUGAAGUGAAAUCGAGUAGGACGGAGCACGAGAAACUUUGUCUGAACAUGGGGGGACCAUCCUCCAAGGCUAAAUACUACUGACUGACCGAUAGUGAACCAGUACCGUGAGGGAAAGGCGAAAAGAACCCCGGAGAGGGGAGUGAAAUAGAACCUGAAACCGUAUGCGUACAAGCAGUGGGAGCCUACUUGUUAGGUGACUGCGUACCUUUUGUAUAAUGGGUCAGCGACUUAUAUUCAGUGGCAAGCUUAACCGUAUAGGGUAGGCGUAGCGAAAGCGAGUCUUAAUAGGGCGUUUAGUCGCUGGGUAUAGACCCGAAACCGGGCGAUCUAUCCAUGAGCAGGUUGAAGGUUAGGUAACACUGACUGGAGGACCGAACCCACUCCCGUUGAAAAGGUAGGGGAUGACUUGUGGAUCGGAGUGAAAGGCUAAUCAAGCUCGGAGAUAGCUGGUUCUCCUCGAAAGCUAUUUAGGUAGCGCCUCAUGUAUCACUCUGGGGGGUAGAGCACUGUUUCGGCUAGGGGGUCAUCCCGACUUACCAAACCGAUGCAAACUCCGAAUACCCAGAAGUGCCGAGCAUGGGAGACACACGGCGGGUGCUAACGUCCGUCGUGAAAAGGGAAACAACCCAGACCGCCAGCUAAGGUCCCAAAGUUGUGGUUAAGUGGUAAACGAUGUGGGAAGGCUUAGACAGCUAGGAGGUUGGCUUAGAAGCAGCCACCCUUUAAAGAAAGCGUAAUAGCUCACUAGUCGAGUCGGCCUGCGCGGAAGAUGUAACGGGGCUCAAACCACACACCGAAGCUGCGGGUGUCACGCAAGUGACGCGGUAGAGGAGCGUUCUGUAAGCCUGUGAAGGUGAGUUGAGAAGCUUGCUGGAGGUAUCAGAAGUGCGAAUGCUGACAUGAGUAACGACAAUGGGUGUGAAAAACACCCACGCCGAAAGACCAAGGGUUCCUGCGCAACGUUAAUCGACGCAGGGUUAGUCGGUUCCUAAGGCGAGGCUGAAAAGCGUAGUCGAUGGGAAACAGGUUAAUAUUCCUGUACUUCUGGUUACUGCGAUGGAGGGACGGAGAAGGCUAGGCCAGCUUGGCGUUGGUUGUCCAAGUUUAAGGUGGUAGGCUGAAAUCUUAGGUAAAUCCGGGGUUUCAAGGCCGAGAGCUGAUGACGAGUCGUCUUUUAGAUGACGAAGUGGUUGAUGCCAUGCUUCCAAGAAAAGCUUCUAAGCUUCAGGUAACCAGGAACCGUACCC
rnacentral:rRNA from 1 species